rfam:Candidate division NC10 bacterium RIFCSPLOWO2_02_FTLL_66_22 rifcsplowo2_02_scaffold_56575, whole genome shotgun sequence.
GUCACCGCGAGGUGGGGUCUGGAGGAAGCCCAAUCCAAACGCGCGGGGCGACGCACAGGAACCGGAUACGAGGGGUGGUACACCCGGGACGAGUCCCGCCACAGGCGGGAUGACCGCGAAGUCCUCCAUCCGCAGCGGGGUGGGCUGUAUAACUCCGGCGUCUACGCGCGAAACGGUCUGUGU